UUGUGUUGAUGUGGAGCAGGUGGCAGAGGAGGCGGUCCUGCUUGGUUGGGAAGCUGGACAUUCUCCUGAUUCGAUU